CUAAACGACUCUCGGCAACGGAUAUCUCGGCUCACGCAUCGAUGAAGAACGUAGCAAAAUGCGAUACUUGGUGUGAAUUGCAGAAUCCCGUGAACCAUCGAGUUUUUGAACGCAAGUUGCGCCCGAAGCCUUGGCUAAGGGCACGUCUGCCUGGGCGUCACG
rnacentral:rRNA from 2 species